CUAUUUCCAAGGCUCUAAUCUCAUGCAGUUCAGCUGAAAAAACAUCAGCCUUCUGCGGAUCUUUCUAUAUAGGCAACCAUGUAAAUGACUCAAUGGUGUGUUGGAAGAAACUCAGUGUGCUGGUUUUCCAGCAUGUUUGGAAGCUCUCUAGUGUGGUGUCAGUGCCUCCUGGCACCCAGCAACUCUGCCUGCGAGAAGGAAGCGUGACCCCCUGAAUGUGCAGAACUAAGGGGUAAAGAGCAGGGCAGCAGCCCAAACUGCUAAUUUGGGUUUCCUUAAGAAAACGGUGGAGUUAGAUUUCCUUGCUAAUUGCAGUUCAGUAGAUCAUUUCUGGAAAACAAUGUGUUUCAACGUGGUAGUCUGAUUAAAAAAGGAAGUGGGGCUUUCCUACUGCUGACUUACAAGAGGAGUUAAGCAGUGCAGGUCACUUCUUGCUGUGUAAGGCCAGGCAGGUUGCAGGCAGACUGGGUGGAAGUGGAGGUGACUGUCCCCACCCUGGACUGCUUGAGCAUCCUGUCAGGACUCACGGAAAAGAUGUGCAACUGUGGGCCUGAUGGAGCACUGUGACCUGUGCUCCACUGGGGAGGAAGAGGGAAGCAUGCCCUCUCAGCUAUUGCAUUGACGUUAAGCUUGAUUUAUAUCAAGCAGCUGGGGAUUUCUGCUAACUGAUUUUUACUUAGGGUGACAUACUGGCACAGUUCUGCUUUCCUUACUGGCAGCACAGAAGAAGAUUAAAAAGUAACUCCAAAGUCUUCUUUGUAUUGUUUGUUUCCUUGCUGCACUCACCAACAGGGAGCCGGUGCUCUUUGUGUCCUGCAGGCAAUGCCAAGAAAACGCACCAAGCUUUGAUGGACACAUUGCAGAGUAUUUUCUCGGACACCUCAGAAGAUAUAGCAGUGAGAAAUGCCUGGAUGUGAGAGAAACUUGGCAUAUUUUCAUGUCUGCCUUGAAUAACCCAUCCUGCUGGGUUGCUCGCCUUUUGCCUACAAGUGGGUGUAGCUCACUGUGGUUUUGCAUGAGCGGUCAUGCAGGAAGAGGUGAGACCCACCAAACCACAGUUUGCCUCGCUCCCUGUGAGCAAUGCUGUUGAUAUAACGACCCAGCUCAGACAGGGAAGGAUUUCUAGUGGCUGCCACUGAUUUCCUACAGGAGGGCACUGUGGAAGGAAGGAGAGGUGGUACGCAUGGGGAAAGAUCAAAGUGCUUUCAGAGAUCUGCAGUAGUAUCGCAUUCUUCUUUCGAUUACGUGAGUGCAGCUGAAGACCUGGAGCAGCAGUGAUGAGGUGCAUGCACUGCAGCUACUCCCUUCCCUAUUCUCAUAGGAAGCUCAUGCGUUGAGGGAAGAAGUUCCCAGAGCUUUCUGUGCUGGUGAAAGAGGCAGCUGUGCUAAUUCUGAUACCGAGUAUUCUCUUACAAACUGAGAUGCUGCAAAACUCCUCAGAAGAGCAGAAAAGGAAGACUUACACCUCCGUCUGACACAGUUAAAAUCUCUCCCUGUGCACUUAUCAGCUUGCAUAUCUCUGUGAAACUCUGUGCUUCAGCGAGGGCUACAUCACUAGGCAACUACUGCAAAGAAACAUGAGUUCUACAGGAUUUCAGGGAAGAAUUCUUCCUCUACUUUUGUUCACUUCUGAGUUUGCUUCUUGGCACCCUCUUCCUUAAUGUGAGGUCAGCCAGAGUACUUUCACAGUUUUUCCUGUCUGUUUUGUCGUUUGUUUCUGUUUCGCAGGCUUACAGCUCCGAAGUCUUUCCAAGAGAGAAGAGAAACCAAACUGGAAGAUGAGAGCAUUGCACAGGCACCAAAUGCUGUUUCUGUUCAACCUUUGUUUCAUCGAGAAAAGUGGGUGUCUAAAAUCAAAGCACGCAUUACUUCCCAUCACUUACUUGUAAUCUGAGACUAGUGUUUUAGUGGAGUCUGCUGCCAGACUACAGAGAAAAGGAAACUUAGUGGAUCACCAGGUUUUUCAGCCUCUGAGAAAGAUAACCAACCAAGCACCAAGAGACAGGAUAGAAGCAUGAAGGUGGUAAUUAACCACAUAGCUGAUUUUGGACUGUUACUAUGCUACCAGAAAAACAUGCUGGGAGAAGCCAUCAUCCACCGUGAAUGAGUUUUCUUGUAUAAGGAAUCCACUUGUUUAUGAGACUCACUUUAAACAAUAACAGAAUCACAAAAUCACAGAGUUGUAGGAGUUGGAAAGGACCUCUAGAAAUCAUCGAGUCCAACCUCUUCUGCUAAAGGAGUUCCCUGCAGCAGGUCACACAGGAAAGUGUCCAGGUUGGUUUUGAAUAUCUCCAGAGGAGACUCCACAACAUCUCUGGGCAGCCUGCUCCAAUGCUCUGCCACCCUCACAAUAAAGAAGUUCUUCCUCAUGUACGUAUGGAACUUCCUGUGUUCCAGUUUGUGCCUAUUUCUGUUGUCCUGUCACUGGGCUCUGCUGAAAGAGUCUGGCCACAUCCACUUGACUCCUGCCCUUUAGAUAUUUAUCAACAAUGAUGAGAUCCCUCUCAGUCUUCUCCAGAGGGAAUAGUCUCUCAGCCUUUCUUCAUAAGGGAGAUGCUCCAGGCCCCUAAUACUCUUUCUGGCCUUUCACUGGACUCUCUCAAGAAGAUCCUGUCUUUCUUGAGUGAGGAGCCCAGAACUGGAUGCAUACAGAGUGGCCUCACUGGGGCAAAGUAGCUGGGGAGGACCUCUUCCCUCAACCUGUUGUCCACACUUUUCAAUGAAACCCAACUUUUAGAGUCCAACUGGUCCCAGUAUUGUUCUGGUAAUGAGGAAGAGCUCCAGAGUGAAAAUGUUGGACUCUGAUUAUGCUUUGCUGUCAUUCAGCAGCACUCAUCCUUCCACCUCUGUCUUGAACAACUGUGUGACUGGUCUUUCCUUGCAGUAAUGAACUAGACAGUGUAUAACCAAGUAGUUAGCAAUACAGAUUUUGUUCUCAGAGUUUUUUUGAACUUUAGUUUCAACUAGACAAUCACUGGCACCAAAUCCAAGAAAAGAAAAACAUGAGAAAAAUCGUGAUGUGUGGGGAUUGGUUAUAUAUUCAUAAAGCCACUAAUCAGUUUCUUUUCUCUCUCAUUUUUGUUAGGCUUUCUUUGUCUACUUUCAGGUCUUAUCUCCAUAUGAACACUGAUAGCAGAUAAAUCAAGACAACAGCUUCCUUCAUUUUUAGGAGUUUUGUUAAAAUUGACUUUCUCCCUCUGACAUGAAUAUCAGUUUAUAUCUCAAUCAAAUCUGGAAUUGUAGUUUAGAGAGAAAAUACAUAAAAUAUGUGUAGAAGAUUUUCCUAUGUCAUCCUUCUCACAGACACUUUCUGUUACUUUUAGAUUUAUUUCAGAUUAUUGUUUACUACGCAAUCAUUAAUAAUUUACAGAAGUAAAGGCUUUUGUUUGGUAGUGAUUUGUUAUAACUGGAAUAAUGAAAAUAAUUAUAUGUAUCUUAUCUCCAGUUCUUCAGUUUUGUAAAGUUCUGCUAAACUCAAGUGUUCAAGCUGUAAUAUAUCUCUUCUACUUUGGGUCUUACCAUUGAAUGACCUGACCUUUUAAUAAAGAUUUUUGUUUCCUAUGGUGCUUGAUUUCUUUGGCUAAGUAAUAAAAAGUGUGUGACACUUAAGAGCUUCCUACUUCCCUACUCUCUCUUAUAGUAGAGUGCUUAUGUAAUGAAGAGUGAUUGCUUGCAAGUCCAGAGAAAGAAAUCCUAAGCAUAUCUGUAUCUUCCAGUUGAUGGGUAUUAAAAAAAAAAAAAAAACAAAUAACCAAACUGCCUGUCAGCCUUGGGAAGAUAAAGAGGACAGAGCAGUGUGAAUGAAUUCAUCAGCAACAAAUGACAGCAAACUUGUCUGAUUUCCCUCUGUGACCAAGUAACAGACAUUAUGAAGAGUCAAGCAGCCGUAUCUAUCUGUCUGUCUGUGGUAUAUCUUGACUUCUGUGGUAUUUUUGAGGCUGCCUUUGACAAUUGUUACCUAGAUGUAUUUUGAUAACAUGCUAUAGUUGAAUGCACAGUAGUUGCAAAAUUCUAAAUAAUUA
ensembl:lncRNA